AGAACGAACGCUGGCGGCAGGCUUAACACAUGCAAGUCGAACGCCCCGCAAGGGGAGUGGCAGACGGGUGAGUAACGCGUGGGAAUCUACCUGGUUCUACGGAAUAACUGAGGGAAACUUCAGCUAAUACCGUAUACGCCCUAAGGGGGAAAGAUUUAUCGGUGCCAGAUGAGCCCGCGUUGGAUUAGCUAGUUGGUGGGGUAAUGGCCUACCAAGGCGACGAUCCAUAGCUGGUCUGAGAGGAUGAUCAGCCACACUGGGACUGAGACACGGCCCAGACUCCUACGGGAGGCAGCAGUGGGGAAUAUUGGACAAUGGGCGAAAGCCUGAUCCAGCCAUGCCGCGUGAGUGAUGAAGGCCUUAGGGUUGUAAAGCUCUUUCAGUGGGGAAGAUAAUGACGGUACCACAGAAGAACGCCCCGGCUAACUUCGCGCCAGCAGCCGC
rnacentral:rRNA from 1 species